rnacentral:rRNA from 1 species
UACGUAGGGGGCUAGCGUUGUCCGGAUUUAUUGGGCGUAAAGAGCGCGUAGGCGGCUAGGUAAGUCCGACGUGAAAUCUGGAGGCUCAACCUCCAGCGGUCGUUGGAAACUACUUGGCUAGAGUCCGGAAGAGGAGAGUGGAAUUCCUGGUGUAGCAGUGAAAUGCGCAGAUAUCAGGAAGAACACCGAUGGCGAAAGCAGCUCUCUGGGACGGUACUGACGCUGAGGCGCGAAAGCGUGGGGAGCGAACAGG